rnacentral:rRNA from 1 species
GACGAACGCUGGCGGCGUGCCUAACACAUGCAAGUCGAACGGAGCUUUUACGGAAUGCGACUUCGGUCAAAUGAAAUUUAAGCUUAGUGGCGGACGGGUGAGUAACGCGUGAGUAACCUGCCUUUCAGAGGGGGACAACAGUUGGAAACGACUGCUAAUACCGCAUAACAUACCGGGGUGGCAUCAUACUGGUAUCAAAGAUUUAUCGCUGAAAGAUGGGCUCGCGUCCGAUUAGGUAGUUGGUGGGGUAACGGCCUACCAAGCCGACGAUCGGUAGCCGGACUGAGAGGUUGAACGGCCACAUUGGGACUGAGACACGGCCCAG